rnacentral:rRNA from 1 species
AGUCACUGACAUUAGAUACCCGUGUAGUCCAGGGUGUAAACGUUGCAGGCUUGGUGUUGGAGGCCCUCCGGAGGGCGUUCAGUGCCGGAGAGAAGUUGUUAAGCCUGUUACGUUGGGGAGUACGUCCGCAAGGAUGAAACUUAAAGGAAUUGGCGGGGGAGCACCGCAACGGGAGGAGCGUGCGGUUUAAUUGGAUUCAACACCGGAAAACUCACCAGGGGAGACUGUUACAUGAAACCCAGACUAAUGAUCUUGGUUGAUUUUCAG